rnacentral:rRNA from 1 species
GUAGGCGGUUUGCCGCGUCUGCUGUGAAAGCCCGGGGCUUAACUCCGGGUGUGCAGUGGGUACGGGCAGACUAGAGUGCAGUAGGGGAGACUGGAAUUCCUGGUGUAGCGGUGAAAUGCGCAGAUAUCAGGAGGAACACCGAUGGCGAAGGCAGGUCUCUGGGCUGUUACUGACGCUGAGGAGCGAAAGCAUGGGGAGCGAACAGGAUUAGAUACCCUGGUAGUCCAUGCCGUAAACGUUGGGCACUAGGUGUGGGGGACAUUCCACGUUUUCCGCGCCGUAGCUAACGCAUUAAGUGCCCCGCCUGGGGAGUACGGCCGCAAGGCUAAAACUCAAAGGAAUUGACGGGGGCCCGCACAAGCGGCGGAGCAUGCGGAUUAAUUCGAUGCAACGCGAAGAACCUUACCAAGGCUUGACAUGGACCGGACCGCUGCAGAGAUGCAGCUUCCCUUCGGGGCUGGUUCACAGGUGGUGCAUGGUUGUCGUCAGCUCGUGUCGUGAGAUGUUGGGUUAAGUCCCGCAACGAGCGCAACCCUUGUCCUAUGUUGCCAGCACGUAAAGGUGGGGACUCAUGGGAGACUGCCGGGGUCAACUCGGAGGAAGGUGGGGAUGACGUCAAAUCAUCAUGCCCCUUAUGUCUUGGGCUUCACGCAUGCUACAAUGGCCGGUACAGUGGGUUGCGAUACUGUGAGGUGGAGCUAAUCCCUAAAAGCCGGUCUCAGUUCGGAUCGAAGUCUGCAACUCGACUUCGUGAAGUUGGAGUCGCUAGUAAUCGCAGAUCAGCAACGCUGU